rnacentral:rRNA from 1 species
CCCUUAGAUGUUCUGGGCAGCACGCGCGCUACAAUGGUCUUCGCAAACGGAUGCAUUCUCGAAGGAGAAUGCCAAUCUUGGAAUCUAUGCCUUGGUCGGGACAGUUGCUUGCAAUUUUUCGACUCGAACCAGGAAUUCCUUGUAAUCGUGAUUCAUCACAUCACGAUGAAUGCGUCCCUGCCCUUUGUACACACCGCCCGUCGCUCCUACCGAUCGAAGAGUUAGGUGAAUUGUUUUGAUCGAUAAGAUUUGACUAUGGUCAACUCUCGUUGUGAAAUUCUGUGAAUCUGACUGUUUAGAGGAAGGAAAAGUCGUAACA